AUUGAACGCUGGCGGCAGGCCUAACACAUGCAAGUCGAGCGGAUGAAGGGAGCUUGCUCCUGGAUUCAGCGGCGGACGGGUGAGUAAUGCCUAGGAAUCUGCCUGGUAGUGGGGGAUAACGUCCGGAAACGGGCACUAAUACCGCAUACGUCCUGAGGGAGAAAGUGGGGGAUCUUCGGACCUCACGCUAUCAGAUGAGCCUAGGUCGGAUUGGCUAGUUGGUGGGGUAAAGGCCUACCAAGGCGACGAUCCGUAACUGGUCUGAGAGGAUGAUCAGUCACACUGGAACUGAGACACGGUCCAGACUCCUACGGGAGGCAGCAGUGGGGAAUAUUGGACAAUGGGCGAAAGCCUGAUCCAGCCAUGCCGCGUGUGUGAAGAAGGUCUUCGGAUUGUAAAGCACUUUAAGUUGGGAGGAAGGGCAGUAAGUUAAUACCUUGCUGUUUUGACGUUACCAACAGAAUAAGCACCGGCUAACUUCGUG
rnacentral:rRNA from 1 species